rnacentral:rRNA from 1 species
AGAGUUUGAUCAUGGCUCAGAUUGAACGCUGGCGGCAGGCCUAACACAUGCAAGUCGAGCGGUAGCACAGAGAGCUUGCUCUCGGGUGACGAGCGGCGGACGGGUGAGUAAUGUCUGGGAAACUGCCUGAUGGAGGGGGAUAACUACUGGAAACGGUAGCUAAUACCGCAUAAUGUCGCAAGACCAAAGUGGGGGACCUUCGGGCCUCAUGCCAUCAGAUGUGCCCAGAUGGGAUUAGCUAGUAGGUGGGGUAACGGCUCACCUAGGCGACGAUCCCUAGCUGGUCUGAGAGGAUGACCAGCCACACUGGAACUGAGACACGGUCCAGACUCCUACGGGAGGCAGCAGUGGGGAAUAUUGCACAAUGGGCGCAAGCCUGAUGCAGCCAUGCCGCGUGUGUGAAGAAGGCCUUCGGGUUGUAAAGCACUUUCAGCGGGGAGGAAGGCGNCGAUUGACGUUACCCGCAGAAGAAGCACCGGCUAACUCCGUGCCAGCAGCCGCGGUAAUACGGAGGGUGCAAGCGUUAAUCGGAAUUACUGGGCGUAAAGCGCACGCAGGCGGUCUGUCAAGUCGGAUGUGAAAUCCCCGGGCUCAACCUGGGAACUGCAUUCGAAACUGGCAGGCUAGAGUCUUGUAGAGGGGGGUAGAAUUCCAGGUGUAGCGGUGAAAUGCGUAGAGAUCUGGAGGAAUACCGGUGGCGAAGGCGGCCCCCUGGACAAAGACUGACGCUCAGGUGCGAAAGCGUGGGGAGCAAACAGGAUUAGAUACCCUGGUAGUCCACGCCGUAAACGAUGUCGAUUUGGAGGUUGUGCCCUUGAGGCGUGGCUUCCGGAGCUAACGCGUUAAAUCGACCGCCUGGGGAGUACGGCCGCAAGGUUAAAACUCAAAUGAAUUGACGGGGGCCCGCACAAGCGGUGGAGCAUGUGGUUUAAUUCGAUGCAACGCGAAGAACCUUACCUGGUCUUGACAUCCACAGAACUUUCCAGAGAUGGAUUGGUGCCUUCGGGAACUGUGAGACAGGUGCUGCAUGGCUGUCGUCAGCUCGUGUUGUGAAAUGUUGGGUUAAGUCCCGCAACGAGCGCAACCCUUAUCCUUUGUUGCCAGCGGUUAGGCCGGGAACUCAAAGGAGACUGCCAGUGAUAAACUGGAGGAAGGUGGGGAUGACGUCAAGUCAUCAUGGCCCUUACGACCAGGGCUACACACGUGCUACAAUGGCAUAUACAAAGAGAAGCGACCUCGCGAGAGCAAGCGGACCUCAUAAAGUAUGUCGUAGUCCGGAUUGGAGUCUGCAACUCGACUCCAUGAAGUCGGAAUCGCUAGUAAUCGUAGAUCAGAAUGCUACGGUGAAUACGUUCCCGGGCCUUGUACACACCGCCCGUCACACCAUGGGAGUGGGUUGCAAAAGAAGUAGGUAGCUUAACCUUCGGGAGGGCGCUUACCACUUUGUGAUUCAUGACUGGGGUGAAGUCGUAACAAGGUAACCGUAGGGGAACCUGCGGUUG